rfam:Sus scrofa isolate TJ Tabasco breed Duroc chromosome 16, whole genome shotgun sequence.
UGUGUGUGAUGGGUUGGCAGUGUAUUGUUAGCUGGUUGAGUAUAUGAGUAGCAUCAGCUAACAUGCAACUGCUGUCUUAUUGCAUAUA